rnacentral:rRNA from 1 species
CCUACGGGAGGCAGCAGUGAGGAAUAUUGGUCAAUGGGCGCGAGCCUGAACCAGCCAAGUAGCGUGAAGGAUGACGGCCCUACGGGUUGUAAACUUCUUUUAUGAAGGAAUAAAGUGAGUCACGUGUGCUGUUUUGUAGGUACCGCAUGAAUAAGGAUCGGCUAACUCCGUGCCAGCAGCCGCGGUAAUACGGAGGAUCCGAGCGUUAUCCGGAUUUAUUGGGUUUAAAGGGUGCGUAGGCGGGUUGUUAAGUCAGUGGUGAAAGUUUGCGGCUCAACCGUAAAAUUGCCGUUGAUACUGGCAGUCUUGAGUACGGUUGAGGCAGGCGGAAUGCGUGGUGUAGCGGUGAAAUGCUUAGAUAUCACGAAGAACUCCGAUUGCGAAGGCAGCUUACUAAGCUACCACUGACAUUGAUGCUCGAAAGUGUGGGUAUCGAACAGGAUUAGAUACCCUUGUAGUC